AAAAAGGCAGUCUCGCAUUGCCACCCCAUUCCUGAGAUUCAGAAUCAGUGGUCUGGGCUGGAAAAUGGGAAUUUGUACUUUAAGUAAGUCUGACAGGUCAUUCUGAGGCAAACGGAUACUUUAGGAGUCACUGCUCUCCUAUGUGGUUUGGCAAAACAUUUGUGGAGGAUUUUGUUGUUUUGUUUUGUUCUUCGACAGACUCCCUUCCUUGAAGACUCUUCUUUGUAUCUUUACAUAAAAUGAAAGAACACCUACGAAAGCAGUAAAAAGGGUGGAUGGGGCACUAUACCUAGACCGGGAGAUGAAUUGCCCUGAUGUGGUCCUGCACGUCACACGUGGCAUUAAAACUUAAGUCCAGGCAUUUUCACUGCUGUGUUCAAGCCUUUGCUCCUUCCUGUCGCCUUAUCAACAUCAAGAGAAUGAUCAAGGAAGGGAAUUUUCAUCCAGGAGUUGGUGAUAACCUAAAAGCAGGUCAUAUGCCAUUAAAAAAGGGUCUCUGUCUUCUGCUUCCCCUGGAAGACUUUGAAUUUCAUUAUAAAGGCAUAUUAGCUAUCUCACUUCAUAAUGUAUGUGCAAAGCAAUGAGAUCCUGCUACAUGGCCCAGGGAACUCUAGCUAGUCACUUGUGAUGGGACAUGAUGGAGGAUAAUGUGAGAAAAAGAACAUGUAUGUAUAUGUAUG